rnacentral:rRNA from 1 species
UGAGGAAUAUUGGUCAAUGGGCGGGAGCCUGAACCAGCCAAGCCGCGUGAGGGAGGAAGGCCCUAUGGGCCGUAAACCUCUUUUGUCAGGGAACAAAAGCGAGUAUGUAUACUAGUCUGAGUGUACCUGAAGAAAAAGCAUCGGCUAACUCCGUGCCAGCAGCCGCGGUAAUACGGAGGAUGCGAGCGUUAUCCGGAUUUAUUGGGUUUAAAGGGUGCGUAGGCGGCGGUGCAAGUCAGCGGUAAAAGCCCGGGGCUCAACCCCGGCGAGCCGUUGAAACUGCAGUGCUAGAGAAGGCGAGAGGUAUGCGGAAUGCGCAGUGUAGCGGUGAAAUGCUUAGAUAUUGCGCAGAACUCCGAUUGCGAAGGCAGCGUACUGGCGCCUGACUGACGCUGAGGCACGAAAGCGUGGGGAUCGAACAGGAUUAGAUACC